UUAUAUGAGAGUUUGAUCCUGGCUCAGGAUUAACGCUGGCGGCAUGCCUAAUACAUGCAAGUCGAACGAGAGUAGCAAUACUCUAGUGGCGAACGGGUGAGUAACACGUAGGAAACCUGCCUCAAAGUCGAGGAUAACUACUGGAAACGGUAGCUAAAACUGGAUAGGAUAUAUUAAGGCAUCUUGAUAUAUUUAAAAGUCCUUCUGGGAAUGCUUUGAGAUGGUCCUGCGGCGCAUUAGCUAGUUGGUGAGGUAGUAGCUUACCAAGGCGACGAUGCGUAGCUGAGCUGAGAGGCCAAACA
rnacentral:ncRNA from 1 species